rnacentral:tRNA from 1 species
UAGGACUUAGGUUAAGAAAACUUUAAAUUUUCAAGAUUUAAGAUGGUAGUGCAGUUCUAG